rnacentral:rRNA from 1 species
UUCAGAGGUUUCAAGCGUUAUCCGGAAUGAUUGGGCGUAAAGCGUCUGUAGGUGGCUUUUUAAGUCCGCCGUCAAAUCCCAGGGCUCAACCCUGGACAGGCGGUGGAAACUACCAAGCUGGAGUACGGUAGGGACAGAGGGAAUUUCCGGUGGAGCGGAGAAAUGCGAAGAGAUCGGAAAGAACACCAACGGCAAAAGAACACUGCUGGGCAAAAAAUGACACGGAGAGACGAAAGCUAGGGGAGCGAAUGGG